ACUUCAGACUUGGACUGGAGCUAAAUCACCAGCUUUCCAGGGUCUCCAACUCACCAACUAUUGAACUUGGGACUUUGUAGCCUUCACAGUCAUGCAGCUGUGCUCCACGGUGACGCAGCCAUGCUGGACCAGUUCAGACUAAACACAUAUACAUCAUUGUCUUCAUGUGUGCUUCUAAUGUGUCCACAUCAAACUCUGGAGAGGACUCUUGGGGACAGUAAAUGGGGCUGAGACCACCUCGAAGUAAUUUUCAACGUGCGUACCUGUCAUCCUCCCGUCACUUCUCCUGGAGCAGCCUCAGGGCAAGCCCACCGGGGCAAUGAUUCCAUGUUUCCAUCCAACCGCUAAACUCAUCCUUCAUGACCUGGGCCCAGGCCAACUCACCAGAUCGAGCUCCUAAGAAGAGAGCAUAUUGUGUGGUUGACAGGAAUUCCACUGAGAAGAGCUGGUCACCUCUUGGCUUCUUUAAUUGUUCCUCAUAAGGAACAUUUACGAUAUCAUGACGGGUGUUUGGAGGGAUGUUCAGACAGUAAUUUACUUGGGGGUAGAAAAACCAACCUUAUAAACACUGAAAAGAAGACAAAGCAUAUCAAAGGUUGCAUUUUUCUCUUUCACUCAAUAUUGAACAAAUAUUUAUUAAAUAUCCACCAUGUGUCAGACAUUACUCUGUGCUCUGGAGGCUCAAGGAAAUGAGAAUCAAUUGUGCCUUCAUCAAAAUCCCAGCUAACCAGGCAGGCAGUGUGAUAAGCUCUCUGGUCAGCUAAGUACACAUGCAGACCAGAUUCCCACUGAGGACUUGGGAAGGUUCUCAAGCAAAUGGUAAUUCAGCCGAGACUUAAGGGAUCAUCUCAGAGUUACUCAUGAGAGAACAGGCAGCACACAUAUGGGAAAAGUGUGUUCCUAUUAGAAAAAGGUGUAUAAGAAAGCAUAGGGAUAAAAAAAAAAAAUAGCGCUGGUCAUUAAAAAUGACAAAUCAAGUGAUGGCAGCUGGAACACUGAGUGUGCAGAAAAGUGGCCAUGGGGAGGCUGCAUAAGUAGACAGGGAACCCCACAAUGAAGGGACUUAGAAGCAAUAUUGGGACAUUCAGACUUUUUCCUAAGAGCACAAAAGAGCCAGUAAAGCCCUUUAAGCAAGAUCCUAACCACAAAUCCUAAAUAAAAAUGCUUGUAGAAGGGUCAUAUCUGCCACAUUCAUUCGAUCAGAGUCUACCAAGUUCCAGACUCUAGGCUGGCCCUUGCAUGGACUGUACAUCAUCAACUGAAUCUAAGAAAACUUAAGAAAGCUCUCUUUCAGAGUUUGCCAAAGUCUGAAAAAAAGAGGGGAAACAGAAAGAAGAGUAGAUUAGUGUGAUGCUUAGUUUUAUGGGUCAAUAGGCUCAGAGGUGGUGCCCAGUGGUUUGGUCAAACUGUAGUUUAGAUGUUGCUAUGAAGGUCUUUUGUAGAUAUGAUAAACAUUUAUAAUCAGUUGACUUAAAUAAAGCACAUCAUCCUCUUUCGUGUAAGGGGCCUCAUCCAAUCAGCCAAGAGCCUGAGGUGCAAAAAUCAAGGUUUCCCAGAGAAACAGGAAUUCUGCCUCAAGACUAUAACAUGGAAACUCUGCCUGAAUUUCCAGUCGGCUGACCUGCCCUGAGGCUUUGAGACUCAAGACUGCUACAGCAACAUUUACGUGAAUGUCCAGCCUGCCAGCCCCAAUAAUCACUUACUUAAAAUUAAUCUCUAGAUAAAUUGACAGUAGAUAGAUAUAAGGAAAUGUAUACACACACACACAGUUGGUUCUAUAUCUGUAUCAUCAGAUCUCUGACUUCUAUAACCAGGAGUCUGAAAACCCACUCCAAUAUCCCCUCUCUAUCAUCUGACUUCUCUGAGCCCAUUGUCUCAUCAGCAUAAUAGAGACUAAUCACCCUCCUUUAGCACCAUGGCUGGCACAUAGUAGGUGCUUCAAAUCAUUUCUUUUCCCCUUUCCUUGAUUGAUUGAUAGGAUAGCUACAUAUCCAAUGAAGGGGCAUUUUUCUGCUGACACAGGCUGCACUUGAUGAAAUCUGAUCUAGAAUGGGAAAUACUAAACAAAAUAAAAAAGAAUUUACUCUCCGAGUAUUAUUGCCACUGUGAUGGAUGGCUGCUCCAAAGGCUAUUUCUCAAGAGUUCACAGUAGAGAAAAAUGUUCAGGCUUGAUUUUGUAUGCGUGUAGAAAAUAAAUUGUAUGACAAGGGUGGCGACAUUUGGACGGGGGAGAGGGCUUAGCCAAGGAAUUAAACAUGUCAGGAGCCUCCAAAGAAAAAGAAUGUUGAAAUGGAAGGUGAAAGGGGCAUAUUUGGAAAACUUGACAAGUGGCACAGUGGGAGGAAAGGUGGCAUUCUGGAAUGGGGUGUCAGCCACUCUCUGCCACUAAAGCCACGAUUUGCCCUUAAUAAUUCAGCGAGGUAGAAAGGAAAAAAUAUGAGCCCAACUUCUAAAGCUCUAUUAUCACAACUGGCUUAAAUUAUUUUCCCUUGCUUAAUUGACCACACAGCAAACAGAGAGAGAAUAAAAUCAGCCAGGGCUUUUUUUUUUUUUUUUUUUUUUUUCUUUUAAAUGGAAUCUUUGCCUAGGUAAUCUCUCAAGUUCCUGUCAACAAAACUCCCAACAUUAGAAAUAAACGAGACCCUGGGAGACAAAAUAACUGGAAUAAUGUCACACAGAACAUAAGUAGAAAACCCAAGUAGAAAACCCAGGCCUGGGAGCUCCCAACCUCAGGGCUUUGCAAGGAAUGAAGAGUAUUAUCCUGGCAAGGAUGGCACACAGGUUGCAGUCAGCACACCAACUUUAAUUGAUUAACUGUGCUGGGUUGAGGUGUGUGAGAGCAAAUGCAGGUUCACCAUGAAAGCAGGGCUUAAUUGAUUAGUGAUAUCUGUCGUGGGAGCCAGAGGUUCUCCAGGCAGGCCAAAUAUUUGUCAUUCCUUAUCUGGUCUAACUUUUUCUUUUUUCCCCUGUAUUACAGGUCUGCAAAAUAUAGCUGGUGGGCCAAAUUGGGCCUACUGCCUGUUUUUAUAAAUAAAAUUUU
rnacentral:lncRNA from 1 species